AGCAGUCGCCGCGGGAAUACGUAGGUGGCGAGCGUUGUCCGGAUUUAUUGGGCGUAAAGGGAGUGUAGGCGGUCUUUUAAGUCUGAUGUGAAAGCCCACGGCUCAACCGUGGAGGGUCAUUGGAAACUGGGAGACUUGAGUGCAGAAGAGGAGAGCGGAAUUCCAUGUGUAGCGGUGAAAUGCGUAGAUAUAUGGAGGAACACCAGUGGCGAAGGCGGCUCUCUGGUCUGUAACUGACGCUGAGGCUCGAAAGCGUGGGGAGCAAACAGGAUUAGAUACCCGCGUAGUCCCUGUCUCUUAUAC
rnacentral:rRNA from 1 species